rnacentral:rRNA from 1 species
GACGAACGCUGGCGGCGUGCUUAACACAUGCAAGUCGAGCGAUGAAGCUUCUUCGGAAGUGGAUUAGCGGCGGACGGGUGAGUAACACGUGGGUAACCUGCCUCAUAGAGGGGAAUAGCCUUUCGAAAGGAAGAUUAAUACCGCAUAAGAUUGUAGUACCGCAUGGUACAGCAAUUAAAGGAGCAAUCCGCUAUGAGAUGGACCCGCGUCGCAUUAGCUAGUUGGUGAGGUAACGGCUCACCAAGGCGACGAUGCGUAGCCGACCUGAGAGGGUGAUCGGCCACAUUGGGACUGAGACACGGCCCAGACUCCUACGGGAGGCAGCAGUGGGGAAUAUUGCACAAUGGGGGAAACCCUGAUGCAGCAACGCCGCGUGAGUGAUGACGGUCUUCGGAUUGUAAAGCUCUGUCUUUAGGGACGAUAAUGACGGUACCUAAGGAGGAAGCCACGGCUAACUACGUGCCAGCCGCCGCAGUAAAAC